rnacentral:rRNA from 1 species
AACGAACGCUGGCGGCAUGCCUAACACAUGCAAGUCGAACGAGACCUUCGGGUCUAGUGGCGCACGGGUGCGUAACGCGUGGGAACCUGCCCUUAGGUUCGGAAUAACUCCCCGAAAGGGGUGCUAAUACCGGAUAAUGUCUUCGGACCAAAGAUUUAUCGCCUUUGGAUGGGCCCGCGUUGGAUUAGCUAGUUAGUAGGGUAAAAGCCUACCAAGGCGACGAUCCAUAGCUGGUCUGAGAGGAUGAUCAGCCACACUGGGACUGAGACACGGCCCAGACUCCUACGGGAGGCAGCAGUGGGGAAUAUUGGACAAUGGGCGAAAGCCUGAUCCAGCAAUGCCGCGUGAGUGAUGAAGGCCUUAGGGUUGUAAAGCUCUUUUACCCGGGAUGAUAAUGACAGUACCGGGAGAAUAAGCGCCGGCUAACUCCGUG